AUCCAGUUCACCAUUCAGCUCACCUGGGACAUCCUGGCACCAGUCUGGUUCUGAACAGAAGUCCAGUAGGAAGCAUCCCCAGCUCACCCAUAGGAGCAGAACCAUUGAUGAACAGGAUUUCCUCUUCUGCAGUCAGGGAACUGGAUGAGUUCAUCUCUGAAGAAGUUGUUAAGAAGAAGAUGGUAAGAUGAAGAACAAGACACUGAUGAAUUAUACAUCUUUGGGAGCUUAUUCCAUACCUUUUGAUAGAUCAGAAGCGAUGAAAAUAUGUUUCUGUCAGUCUGAAUAAAUGUUCUGAGUCUGCUGGAUGGAUGACAGCCCUGGUGCCCUGCCCUGGUGGUUUUUUGAUGUGUAGUCCUCUCCGUCUUCUCCUUCCCUAUUCCCUCCUAUCCCAUUCCCUUCCCUCCCCUCCCCCUCC